rnacentral:rRNA from 1 species
CCUACGGGUGACUGCAGUGAGGAAUAUUGGUCAAUGGGCUUACGCCUGAACCAGCCAAGUCGCGUGAGGGAAGACUGCCCUAUGGGUUGUAAACCUCUUUUGUCAGGGAGCAAGUGGCGCUACGUGUAGCGUUAUCGAGAGUACCUGAAGAAAAAGCAGCGGCUAACUCCGUGCCAGCAGCCGCGGUAAUACGGAGGAUGCGAGCGUUAUCCGGAUUGAUGGGGUUGAAAGGGUGCGUAGGCGGAAUGCCAAGUCAGCGGGAAAAUCGCGGGGCUCAACCUCGCUCCGCCGUUGAAACUGGCGUUCUUGCGUGGGCUCGCAGUAUGCGGACUGCGUGGUGUAGCGG